rnacentral:rRNA from 1 species
UACGGAGGGAGCUAGCGUUGUUCGGAAUUACUGGGCGUAAAGCGCACGUAGGCGGCUUUUUAAGUCAGGGGUGAAAUCCCGGGGCUCAACCCCGGAACUGCCCUUGAAACUGGAGAGCUAGAAUCUUGGAGAGGCGAGUGGAAUUCCGAGUGUAGAGGUGAAAUUUCGUAGAUAUUCGGAAGAACACCAGUGGCGAAGGCGACUCGCUGGACGAAGUAUUGA